UUCUUUUUUUAAAAAAUAAAUAUAUAACUAUAUUUAUUUUGAAUAUUAAAUAGUUUUUAAAUUACAAGCAAUUUAUUGAAUCACACUAUGCAUCAAUAUACAGUAAAAAUCUUACAAUUUAAAAAUGUACACAAUUUAAACUGAAAGUUCAUUGACUGUUACAUUGCCGUGAACCUUUUUUGCCUGUGUUAAAAGACAGCAGGGAGGCCCGGUGGGUGGGACGGCCCCCUACGUCCUCCUCUGCAGACAGAAUCUGGCGGUGGAUCCAUACACCAGUCUCAUGAUCAAGAUCCCGCUCGGCCCACGAAGGCCUGAGCUCUUAACCAGCACGCGUCCAUGCCGGUCAAACUGAUCUUCACAGGCUGUUGGUAAUUCAAUACUGUCAACGCAUCUUUAAGAAUUUCUUUAUAGACGAAAGAGAAUGUUCUUUGUUAAUAAAGACUUGAGCCAACCCCAUUGCUACUUAGGAAUAUUGUUUUGGAGAUUUCCAUCGGAAGUCACUGCGUACACCCAUUCUUUUUUUAAGCUACUUCUUAUAAUGCUCAUGUUUUGAAACCCCUGUUAACAGAAGCCCAACCUUUGGUGUCUAACCCUUGGUUCACUUCUGAAUUUUCAGAUGACGGGCUGAGUCGAGGAAGAGCAGGCGCUGCCUUCCUUCCACCGGGGCCCUGGGGACAGACAUGCAGUAGGUCCUUAGCUGUGCAAACACCCUAUGGGGAACAGGAAAAAAAGGAGGGCUUCGGAAAGGCCUUUUACAGCAGCAAGACAUACCAAGACUUUUCUUAGAUAAACCCAUUUCUAUAGAAACGAUCGGACCUGUACAUUUAAAAAUAGAAUGAACGCUGUUUGCAAUUAAGCUUGGUCAAGCUUUCUGCACCCUUAUGAUGAAUGGCUUCUCAUCCAGACACACGGGCCAAGUCUCAGAAGGAUUUGGGGAGCACUUUUUCUGUGUUGCCCUUUCUGGCUUAUUGACAGGGUCAUUUGAAAAGACAAAUUCGCAUCUAGCUAGGAAGGAAAUGAAAGCUAGAUUAUUUUUGUCAUAGGAUUUAAAAUGUACAAACUCCACCAAAAUAGGACUAAUUCAGAUUGAUUCUGGGUUCCCACUCAUAGGAGGCCGGAAAAUAUUCUAGCCUUCCCCCACACUAUCUAGAGAAUGCCACUGAUUUAUUUCAUUGUACAACUUAUUAGAACAAGUACGUUUUGAAAACCCACCACUGAUAACCAACUUAUUAGUUAAAAAAUAACAAAACGAACAACAAAAACCUCAGCUGAACACAGCACGUGCUGACAUUUCAAAAAUGGGCUGCAAUUUUUAUUCUACUUAAAUUUCCUGUAUAUUGCUUGGAUUUCAAAAAAGCGUGUUAACCUACAUGUUGAUUAUAAAUAUAAAAUCUCCCCCUUCCAUGCAAUACCACAUUAAGACCCACUAUCCCCCACCCCCAACUCAAUGUAUAAAAUGCUUUUUUGGCAACUAAUUGUGAGUGACUCAAAAUAAAUAAACAUGGGAAUUAUGUUGUUAAAGUCAUCUUCUUUUUUUUUUUUUUUUUUUGAGACAGGGUCUGGCUCUGUUACCCAGGCUAGAGUACAGUGGCAUGGUCUUGGCUCACUGCAACAUCCAUCUUCUGGGCUCAAGCCAUCCUCCCACCUCAGCUUCUCAAGUAGCUGGGACUACAGGUGCACACCACUAUGCGCCCAGCUAGUUGUUUUUUUUUUUUUUUUUUGUUGUUGUUGUUUGUAUUUUUAGUAGAGAUGGGGUAUCUCCAUAUUGCCCAGGCUGGUCUUGAACUCCUGGGCUCAAAGUGAACCACCCACCUUGGUCUCCCAAUGUGCUGGGAUUGCAGCUGUGAGCCACAGCCAAAAUCUCAAUCCUAGUGGAAAAUGGACAGCCCCAAAAGGUCAAUAAAUGUGCUCGAGGCUGACAAUGUGUAAGAAGACGACAGAUUCCAUUAUCUGCGUGACUUUGGUCAUUAAAUCUGAACUCUUUAAACCUACAAUUGGAAAAAGUAGCAUAAUCACAUCUCAUUUCUCCUCAGCCAAGACUAAUCUUAGAUGUAAAAGCUGAGAAAACUCAGGAAGUCCCCACAGCAGGAAUUCAGAGUCAUGACAAUUUUGGCAAAAUCAUCUUCUUAUGCCCUGUUAAUUUUUUUUUAAAUCCACGCAUCCCGAGAGCCGGUGCUCCCCAUACAGCCCAGGUGGGCACUGCGUCCACCCCAUGACUAGACAGGAGGGGACUCUCUCCAUCCUGAACUUCUUGCUUUGGAAAGUUAUUGCUUAGUAUAAUAAAUGAGCGGAGCGGAGCAGAACUGGCAGCGAAGGUUGUCAUUUGCUGUGCACACUCUGGCAACCUCCACCUGCAUUUUGCACUAGGACUCAACUUCCUUCCGUGUACCCCAGGCGG
rnacentral:lncRNA from 1 species